AGAGUUUGAUCAUGGCUCAGAUUGAACGCUGGCGGCAUGCCUUACACAUGCAAGUCGAACGGCAGCACGGGGGCAACCCUGGUGGCGAGUGGCGAACGGGUGAGUAACACAUCGGAACGUACCCAGUUGUGGGGGGAUAACCAGUCGAAAGACGGGCUAAUACCGCAUGAUCUGGCGACAGCAAAGCGGGGGAUCGGUAACGACCUCGCGCGAUUGGAGCGGCCGAUGUCCGAUUAGCUAGUUGGUGGGGUAAAGGCCCACCAAGGCUUUGAUCGGUAGCUGGUCUGAGAGGAUGAUCAGCCACACUGGGACUGAGACACGGCCCAGACUCCUACGGGAGGCAGCAGUGGGGAAUUUUGGACAAUGGGGGCAACCCUGAUCCAGCCAUGCCGCGUGAGUGAAGAAGGCCUUCGGGUUGUAAAGCUCUUUCGGUAGGAACGAAACGGUUACGGCUAAUACCUGUGACUAAUGACGGUACUUACAGAAGAAGCACCGGCUAACUACGUGCCAGCAGCCGCGGUAAUACGUAGGGUGCGAGCGUUAAUCGGAAUUACUGGGCGUAAAGGGUGCGCAGGCGGUCUCGUAAGCUGGGUGUGAAAGCCCCGGGCUUAACCUGGGAAUGGCAUUCAGGACUGCGAGGCUUUGAGUGCGGCAGAGGGAGGUGGAAUUCCACGUGUAGCAGUGAAAUGCGUAGAGAUGUGGAGGAACACCGAUGGCGAAGGCAGCCUCCUGGGCCAGCACUGACGCUCAUGCACGAAAGCGUGGGGAGCAAACAGGAUUAGAUACCCUAGUAGUCC
rnacentral:rRNA from 1 species